rnacentral:tRNA from 1 species
UAAAUAUCUAAAUUUUUAAGUAUAUCGUUUACAAUGAUAAGAUGUUUUUUAAACUUUAUUUAUAUUAUUUAAUAAUUUAAUUGAAUAAAAUUUUAAUUU